rnacentral:misc_RNA from 1 species
UCCGGUUUGUCACCGGCAGUCUCCUUAGAGUGCCCUUGCGUAGCAACUAAGGACAAGGGUUGCGCUCGUUGCGGGACUUAACCCAACAUCUCACGACACGAGCUGACGACAGCCAUGCAGCACCUGAACCAGAGGUCCCCGAAGGGAAGACCCUAUUUCUAGGGCUGUCCUCUGUUGUCUAGCCCGGGUAAGGUUCUUCGCGUUGCCUCGAAUUAAACCACAUGCUCCACCGCUUGUGCGGGCCCCCGUCAAUUCCUUUGAGUUUCAGCCUUGCGGCCGUACUCCCCAGGCGGGACACUUACUGCGUUAGCGACGGCACCGAGGGGGUCGCUCCCCCCGACGCCUAGUGUCCAUCGUUUACGGCGUGGACUAC